UACGGGGGGGGCAAGCGUUGUUCGGAAUUACUGGGCGUAAAGGGCUCGUAGGUGGCCAACUAAGUCGGACGUGAAAUCCCUCGGCUUAACCGGGGAACUGCGUCCGAUACUGGUUGGCUUGAGUUUGGGAGAGGGAUGCGGAAUUCCAGGUGUAGCGGUGAAAUGCGUAGAGAUCCGGAAGAACACCAGUGGCGAAGGCGGUUAGCUGGGCAGUUGCUGACACUGAUGCGCGACAGCGUGGGGAGCAAACAGG
rnacentral:rRNA from 1 species